GGUUUGUGGCUCAAUGGCAGAGCGCUCGCCUAGCACGUGCAAGGCCCUGGGUUCGAUCCUCAGCACCA
rnacentral:tRNA from 1 species